rnacentral:rRNA from 1 species
GACGAACGCUGGCGGCGUGCCUAAUACAUGCAAGUCGAGCGGACAGAAGGGAGCUUGCUCCCGGAAGUUAGCGGCGGACGGGUGAGUAACACGUGGGCAACCUACCCUGUAGAUCGGGAUAACAUCGAGAAAUCGGUGCCAAUACAGGAUAAUCAUUUGAAGUGCAUGCUUCGAAUGUAAAAGAUGGCUCCGGCUAUCACUACGGGAUGGGCCCGCGGCGCAUUAGCUAGUUGGUAAGGUAAUGGCUUACCAAGGCAACGAUGCGUAGCCGACAUGAGAGGGUGAUCGGCCACACUGGGACUGAGACACGGCCCAGACUCCUACGGGAGGCAGCAGUAGGGAAUCUUCCGCAAUGGACGAAAGUCUGACGGAGCAACGCCGCGUGAGUGAUGAAGGUUUUCGGAUCGUAAAGCUCUGUUGUUAGGGAAGAACAAGUGCCGUUUGAAUAAGGCGGCACCUUGACGGUACCUAACCAGAAAGCCACGGCUAACUACGUGCCAGCAGCCGCAGUAAAAC